rnacentral:rRNA from 1 species
AAUUACGUGCCAGCAGCCGCGGUAAUACGUAGGGUGCAAGCGUUAAUCGGAAUUAUUGGGCGUAAAGGGUGCGUAGGCGGUUUGUUAAGACGGAUGUGAAAUCCCUGGGCUCAACCUGGGAACUGCAUACGUGACUGGCAGACUAGAGUAUGGCAGAGGGAGGUGGAAUUCCACGUGUAGCAGUGAAAUGCGUAGAUAUGUGGAGGAACACCGAUGGCGAAGGCAGCCUCCUGGGCCAAUACUGACGCUGAGGCACGAAAGCGUGGGGAGCAAACAGGAUUAGAUACCCUGGUAGUCCACGCCCUAAACGAUGUCAACUGGUUGUUGGGGAUAGCUCUNNUUAGUAACGAAGCUAACGCGUGAAGUUGACCGCCUGGGGAGUACGAUCGWAAGAUUAAAACUCAAAGGAAUUGACGGGGACCCGCACAAGCGGUGGAUGAUGUGGAUUAAUUCGAUGCAACGCGAAAAACCUUACCUACCCUUGACAUGUACAUAAUCUGGCCGAGAGGUGGAGUGCUNNAAAGAGAGAUGUAACACAGGUGCUGCA